rnacentral:rRNA from 1 species
AGUGAACGCUGGCGGUAGGCCUAACACAUGCAAGUCGAACGGCAGCACAGUAAGAGCUUGCUCUUACGGGUGGCGAGUGGCGGACGGGUGAGGAAUACAUCGGAAUCUACUUUUUCGUGGGGGAUAACGUAGGGAAACUUACGCUAAUACCGCAUACGACCUACGGGUGAAAGCAGGGGAUCUUCGGACCUUGCGCGAUUGAAUGAGCCGAUGUCGGAUUAGCUAGUUGGCGGGGUAAAGGCCCACCAAGGCGACGAUCCGUAGCUGGUCUGAGAGGAUGAUCAGCCACACUGAAACUGAGACACGGCCCAGACUCCUACGGGAGGCAGCAGUGGGGAAUAUUGGACAAUGGGCGCAAGCCUGAUCCAGCCAUACCGGGGGGGUGAAGAAGGCCUUCGGGUGGUAAAGCCCUUUUGUUGGGAAAGAAAAGCAGCAGGUUAAUACCCCGCUGUUCUGACGGAACCCAAAGAAUAAGCACCGGCAAACUUCGU